rnacentral:rRNA from 1 species
GACGAACGCUGGCGGCGUGCUUAACACAUGCAAGUCGAACGGUGAAGCGCCUUCCUCUUUGGUGGGUGUGGAUGAGUGGCGAACGGGUGAGUAACACGUGAGUAACCUGCCCCCUUCUUCUGGAUAACCGCAUGAAAGUGUGGCUAAUACGGGAUAUUCUGGGUCUGUCGCAUGAUGGGUCUGGGAAAGAUAUUGUUUCGGUGGGGGAUGGGCUCGCGGCCUAUCAGCUUGUUGGUGGGGUGAUGGCCUACCAAGGCGGUGACGGGUAGCCGGCCUGAGAGGGUGGACGGUCACACUGGGACUGAGACACGGCCCAGACUCCUACGGGAGGCAGCAGUGGGGAAUAUUGCACAAUGGGCGCAAGCCUGAUGCAGCGACGCCGCGUGAGGGAUGGAGGCCUUCGGGUUGUGAACCUCUUUCGCCAGUGAAGCAGGCCUGCCUCGUUUGUGGGUGGGUUGACGGUAGCUGGAUAAGAAGCGCCGGCUAACUACGUG